CAGCUAUGAUCCGUUUCCUUUGCUUGUCACCAUCAAAGAUUUACUCAGUCCCACUGCAGCCCAACCUUUUCCAACCAUCUCCGCCAGCACCCUAAAUUUGUCUCAAUAUGAAUAAAUUCGAAGCCUUCCCUGCCAAUCCCUUGCGCCGCCUAGCUUAGAUCCACCCACAAGCGUCCGCCGACUCUGUUUGUUGAAGUCCUCUCUAAGAUUGCUGCUUGUUGUCGUCAGAUCCAAAAAUCUUGCCCACAAUUCAAAUUUGGUUCAUGCCCUCUCUGCCUAAGAUAUCUGUUUUUCAUCGUGGGUUUUGCAGCAAUUUCUCAAACAGAAAAAAAAAAGAAAAAAACUAGUUCAUGUUAUUCAAAUUCAUCCAAUUCAUCUGAAUGGAUGGUUCACAUCUUCACUCAGUGGCGUCAUUGUGGUGGUGGUGAUGAAAAAAAAGGGAGAACUUUCAUUAGCCAUGAAAACAAAGAAGAAAAAAUGAGGAGGGUACACGAAGAAGAAGAUAUAUGAGAGAAGAAGAAGGAAAGAAUUAAAAAUUGUAUUUUUUUUAAAAGAUCGAAAAAAGACUCUUGGUUUCUGACCUAGGGUUGUGGACGAGCGGCGGUCAAAUUCUCCUGAGGCGUCGUCUUCUCCCGAGGGCAGUCGGUAGCUAUUUUGGUGGGGUCGUUCAUCGUCUUCAUCUACACGUUUGUUGUUUGUUGAUGUCGUCUUCAUUCCGACGGUAAGAAGGUUCUUCGUUCGUUCCGCUGCAGGUACGUUCGACCGGUUACGGUAGCAGGUAGCAGGUUCAUGGUAAGAAGGUAGCAUAUUUACAGUAGUUUUUCAUCAUUAUGGUUGUUAGCAGACGGUGAGUUUAAUCUAGAUAGUGAGGGUUACGUUAUGGUUUUUAGUAGCAAAGGACGGUGUGAGUUUAAAUCUGUGGAUGGUGAGGUUAGAUGGUGCGUAAGCGGUCACCUUUAAGAUUGAAGGAGAAGAAUGGAGGUCGAGUUGCUUGGCAUCCCUUUCGUCUGCUUAGACCGGAGAUCGAAUCGGGUUUGGGUGCUCAUUGAUAACUGACAGAUAUGCCAGUUAUUAUAAGCCUUUUAUUUAGAAUUAUGAGGGCUAAUAAGUAGAAAAUGCAGUGAUAAUAUUUAGAAUAUGCGAAAAUUGAGUUUUGCGUCGAUUAGCACCUAAAUCCUCACUAACCUCAAUAUUAUGCAUUACUCCAUGCCAAAGUGUCUAUUUUUGUAGCUAUCGUAGGAAUUAAACACAUGUGUUGGAAAUAAGCAAUCACAGACAAACGCAUGCGCUGAAGCUAGGCGACCGCAAAGACAAAUGCAUACAUUGAAAACUGAGCUAUCGCAUAGACGAAUGUAUGCGGUGAUCGAAUGCGUCCAUCGCGUGGAAGUUACGGUGAUCGAAUGCACCCAUCGCAUGGAAGUUACGGUGAUCAAUUGGAAAUUGCGACCACGGAGUGACAACCAUAAUAGAAGGACGACCGCAAGAUGGGUAGAACACAUUGAUACUUCAGCUGAAUCAAGCUCAGACGCAUACCUUAGAAGUAUCAAUAAGAUAAGAUGAUGUGACAUUGCCCAUACCGCGACAAAGGCAGCAGUGAGACAUAAUGCAAUCAUGAUAGCUAUCGGCGUUUAAACCCUACAAAUAGCCCCUUCGACCUUUAUUUCAAAGUAUCCGAACUUCUGCCUCCAGGUAGAGGUUUGCGAUCACAGAUGAGAGCUUGAGCAAGAUUUUCAGUGAGAAUUCUUCACCUCCACAAACCAUACCAAGUGACGACCGAAGCUUUCGUUGGAGAUAGAGCUCGAGAGAGACAUCUCCACCAUUCAUCCAUGGCACCAUCGGCAACCUUGGCACAGAGCCCUUCAUUUCUCUUAUACCCUCUGUAUUGUA